GCCGGGCAUGGUGGCUCACGCCUGUAAUCCCAGCACUUUGGGAGGCUGAGGUGGGUGGAUCACCUGAGGUCAGGAGUUCAAGACCAGCCUGGCCAAGAUGGUGAAACCCCGCCUCUA
rnacentral:SRP_RNA from 1 species